ACAAAUAACUGAAGGAAGGGACUUCUGGUUUGGGUUUCUUCGGCUAAGGACCGAAAUCGCGAUUGUCCGUGGUUUUGAUCCGUGCUCGAUGCUGGAGUGCCCGGAGCCGCCCGGAUUUGGGGCUGAAGCCACCCCGUAGAGGUGGUGAAGAAG